rnacentral:lncRNA from 10 species
CGGGGUUUCACCAUGUUGCCCAAGCUGGUCUCAAACUCCUGAGCUCAAGCCAUCCACCCACCUCGGCCUCCCCAAAUCCUGGGAUUACAGAUGCGAACUACCGUGCUGGGCCUAAUCUUACUGUUUUAAUGUAAAAAUGGACAGUCUUGAGGAAGACAGAUUGGAAAGCAGAGAGACACAGUGUGAAAUCGCUGCUCUCAGAUCAGCACACGGGAGAGGCCAGCAGUCAGGAGGGGGCUCACCGAGUUUGUCUGCACUCGCUCCCUCCGCAGCCGCCCUCUCCAGCUGGAAGAAGUCGUAAUCGAACCUGCUCAGGUCCUCACUGCCCCACUCCGAAGGAAACCCCACGUACAGGUGAGGUCAGAGGAGUGAAGUGACUUGCCCAAGACCACACAGUGAGUCAGGAGCAGGCCUGUCCCUCCAGCAGUGGUGCCAUGUUGUCCCCAAGCCAUGGUGGCAGAGGAGCUGGUGUGAACGCCCCAUCCUGCCACGUCUGUGAUGUGGGCACCUCACAUGACUGUCCCCUCCCAGCUCUUGGGGGGGACCUAGGACAUUCUGUGAGCCUGCAGGAAAGUUUACCAAAUGCUGCAGCUUUGUCCUGGUGGUGAUGGGCACCCCGUUAACGGCAACCUUGCAUUUGCUAUGUGGAGUGACCGUCACUUUACCGUCGGCAUUUGUGAAGGAAGCGUGUUUAUCUGAAAUUCUAAGAAGAUGAGAGUCAAAGACACCCAGCAAACGGCGGUUUCCGUGAGCAGGGUUGGAGCCCAGGAAGCAAACCAGCACUGCACCCUAGAUUUCAGCCAGAGGACGAAAGCCCUGCCCUCAGCUUUCUCAGACCAGCCCUGGAGUAGGUGGCCCGGGGAGACCUGGGCAGUGUCCCUGCUUGUCCUGCAGACUGUGUGGCUCUGCAGACCUCUAGAUGGAGGAGGCACAAUUCUCUAAUGCUGGACGAGGACACUGAUCAUGGAAACUCACCCCAAACCUUGAAUCGUGAUAGCAUUUGAGGCAGCCUGACCGGUGCCACAUGAACCUGAAAGGAAUCAAGAUAUAAUUUAUUUUGAAAAUAAAUCAGACACUUUCAGAAUUUGAGCGUAAGAAGUUAACAUGUCUGAUGCGUUGGAAGUGACGUUUUCUCUACAGUGGGAUGGUACUGAAGGGAUUUUUCCAGUUGGGAUUUUCAAUCAUAAUGGUACUUAGACAUACUUUUCUUUCUGCCUUGUGUGUGGGGGGAAGAGCGGGG